CAAUGGAGACCUUGCUCCUCUUUCUUUGCAUGUUUUCAAUGCUGAAACAGGGGGUCCACUCUGAAAUUCAGCUGACUCAGUCUGGCACAGGAGGAUUGGUCAGACCCGGGGAGUCCAUCCAACUGACUUGCAAAAUAACUGGCACUUCCAUCACUGAUGGAUAUGCUUACAGCUGGAUCCGCAAGCCUCCCAACAAAGGGCUGGAAUGGAUUGGGAGGAGAUACUACAGCAGCUCUACGUGGCACACUAAUUAUGCCUCAGCCUUCCAGAGCAGGGUCUCCAUCUCUCCUGAUGCCUCCAAGAAUGAGUUUUACUUUCAGCUGAGCUCCGUGACAGUAGCAGACACGGCCACCUAUUAUUGUGCACGAGAUGCACAGUGA